rnacentral:rRNA from 1 species
GAUGAACGCUGGCGGCGUGCCUAAUACAUGCAAGUCGAGCGAACAGACGAGGAGCUUGCUCCUCUGACGUUAGCGGCGGACGGGUGAGUAACACGUGGAUAACCUACCUAUAAGACUGGGAUAACUUCGGGAAACCGGAGCUAAUACCGGAUAAUAUAUUGAACCGCAUGGUUCAAUAGUGAAAGACGGUUUUGCUGGCACUUAUAGAUGGAUCCGCGCCGCAUUAGCUAGUUGGUAAGGUAACGGCUUACCAAGGCAACGAUGCGUAGCCGACCUGAGAGGGUGAUCGGCCACCCUGGAACUGAGACACGGUCCAGACUCCUACGGGAGGCAGCAGUAGGGAACCUUCCGCAAUGGGCGAAAGCCUGACGGAGCAACGCCGCGUGAGUGAUGAAGGUCUUCGGAUCGUAAAACUCUGUUAUUAGGGAAGAACAAAUGUGUAAGUAACUAUGCACGUCUUGACGGUACCUAAUCAGAAAGCCACGGCUAACUACGUG